AGAGAAAGGCACUGCGGAUAGAUGCUCUGUGAGCUCGAUAACACUAAAUAUUUCUACUCUAAUACUUCUAUAUACUUUUUUUUGGAAGCGGUUAUUUUCACAAAUACCCACAAAGCACUUGCAUGCAAGCUGGUGUAGUUUUACAUGUUGUUAUUGCUUAUUCUGGAAAAAAUAGUCCUUUGUUAUUUUGCCCCCCCCCGACUUUGUCUGCUAGCAUGUUAGCCGUUAGCAGUUAGCCGAUGCUACAUGAGCAGCAUUAUAAUAUAACGUGUUGAAAUAAUUAGUCGUGUAGAUGUAUUAGGUUUAAAGCCUGUUUGGAUGUUGACGUCCUCUCUGGUUUUCUCAGUUUAAGUGAGUUUGUACUUUCAGCGUUAUUAACAUGGCGGAAAACAAUGCAGAGAGCAUCUGUAGCGUGACAGAAGAAAGACAGAAUGAGACAGAGUCGUCAUCAGGUGCGGAGAUUUCGAAAUGCGAUCCGUCCAAGCAAGGCAUCGAGGAAGACGAGCUGGACGGACUUCCUGUUUUUGGAGCGGAUGAUGAAGAGGGUGAGCCGGAGAGCGGCUCCACUCACAAAGACAAGCAGGCUGAUGAAACGGGCGAGAACGGAAACAGAUACAGUGUCUCGCCUAAAGAUAACGAAGCAGGUGAAGGUGUGCAGAGCUCUCAGCAGGAGGUUGGACCCUCACAAAAUGAAGGCAGUGCAUCAUCACAGGAAAAGGGUGAAAGAACCAGGGAGGAAAUCCCGUGUUCUCCGUUGAAGAAAAUAAAAGACGAACCCAUAGACGAGGAUUACGAUAAAGCCCUCAUCAGCUCUUCGCACUCGGACAUCAGCCGUGUUAAAGAGGAGCUCGAGAACGGAGAUCAUGAGUCGUCUGUUCCUCUGGAUGAAUUGAGGAUCAGCUCUGUCUUUUCUGUUAGAGGAAGCAGUGAUGCCAUUACUGCUCCUGUGGCAGCCCCACAACCGCUCCCGUUCUCUGCUGUAACUCAGCCCAUCAGACCACCUCCUAUAGUCCUGCAGGCCCAAAUGCAGCCUCAUUUUCAUGCACACCUCCAGCUUCAACCCAAGACCUUGGCCCAGCUCCAACCGCAUCUGCAAACUCAUCUUCAGGCACAGCUUCAAACUCAUCUCCAACCUCAACUUCAACUCCAAGCGCAGCUUCAAGCACAUCUUCAAACGCAGCUUCAACCGCAGCUCCCACACCAACUACAACCACAACUCUCACAUCAGCUCCCACCGCAGCUCCAGCCGCAGCUCUCGCCCCAGCUCCAGCCCCAGCUCCCACCUCAGCUCCAACCACAGACCCCACCUCAGCUUCAGACACAACCGCCACCCCUCCUCCAGGCUCAGCCCCCACCACAGCAUCACCCACCUCCUGCUCCUGUGCGGAUCUGCUGCUCAGGCUGCUCUAAGGUUCUUCAGAAAGGUCAGACCGCGUUUCAAAAGAAAGGCUCCAAUCAGCUCUUCUGCUCUACUGUGUGUCUGACUGGAUUCAACCUGCCUCCAGCCCCCAAUAUCGCCCCAAAGAAAACCUGCCACCUCUGUCUCAAGGUAAUUGGGAAUCUCAAAGACUUGAUAACAGUUCCGGUCGACGCAGCGAACACCUUGAAGGAGUUUUGUAGCCAGUCUUGUCUGAGCAUUUACAAGUCCAGAGUUGAAGGCUUAACCGAAAAGGAUGCCGUCGUUAAAUGCUCCGUGUGCAGAAAUUCCAGUGAGAUCCAACACGAAGUGAAUCACCAGGGCGUUCUGCACCGUCUCUGCAGCGACGAGUGCUUCUCACGUUUCCGAUCCUCCAAACGGUUGUCCAUGAGCUGCUGCGAGAGCUGCGGCAACUGUACCGUGACAGGAAACUACCACCUCGUACAGAUAGAGGACGCUGUUAAGAAAUUCUGCAGCCCAGCCUGCAUCAGUGCUUUUAAACAGAAAAGUGGUAAGAGGGUCUACUGCCCCUGCUGUCAAGAUUUAAAACCUAUGGAUCAGAUGUUGGAAGGCACAAACACUCAAGGAGUCAUAGAGUUCUACUGCUCCUCCAGAUGUGUGGCUAAUAGCCAGGCGUCCUGCACUUUGUCAGGCGCUUCAUUCCCGUGCACAAAUUGCCAGACGUUAGCUGUUCCUCAGUAUCACUUGGUGAUGCCCGACGGAGCCAUUAGGAACUUCUGCUCGUACGACUGUGUUGGCAGAUUCCAGGAGAGGCUGCAGAGGUCAGUUCAAAUGAACGGUGGAUACUAUCACAGUCCAAACACAGGCCCACAUCCUCCUGUACCUCAUCAUCCGUCUGCUCAAGGAUUUAAUCCACCUUCUAACGCAGUGCCUGCUUCGAAUCAAAACACCGUCUUGCCAUCUUGCCGACCGACAAACCCACAAGACCCCCAGCAGCAGCUAGAAGCUCUCGGCCCUGUCAAACUCACCUGUAAACAGUGCCAGAAGCAGUUCAGCUCGAAACCCGAGGUCCUACAGUUUAAGAAUCACGCGGGCCUCUUCUGCUCCCGCCUCUGUUGUGACAUGUAUAAAAGGGAAAGAGAUGUCAAAGCAGUGUGCAGGUACUGCAAAGAAGAAAAAGUGGCCAAGGAAAUUGUCAUCUACGAGAAGCAGCCGCGGACCUUCUGUUGCGAAGGCUGCAAACUGCUCUACAAACACGACUACGCCAAGCAGCACGGGGGUCAGUGCAGAGUUUGUGCUUUCUGCUAUAACGUGACCCACAAAACCAUCCAGAAUCACUUUGGAGGCAAGCUGGAAGAGUUCUGCUCAGAAGAGUGCAUGUCUCUCUACACCGUUCUCUUCUACGAGAUGGCAAAGUGUCAUGCUUGUAAGAAUCAGGGACCACUUAAGGAGAGCAUCAGAUGGGAUGAAACUGUCCGACACUUCUGCAACCUGCACUGUCUGUUGCAUUUUUGCUCCAAGAGCAUCAUCCCUGAUCAGCCAAACAGCAAUGGUAUUAACACUGCUGUCACCCCGGCCCAGGCCCCACUGACUCUAUCCAAAGACAUGCCUGUAAUUGGGGGUGUUGUGUCAUUAGCCUCUGCGCUGGCUGCCAACACUGCACUCACAGGAGCGCUGCCUACCUCAAACGCCAGCUCCAAGAUCAUAGGCGACGCAAGCACCCAAACGGAUGCCGCGGUGAACGGCGAUCCUCAGCAGCGACGGAUGCUGAAGAAUAAAGCCGUCAUGUGCAAACCUAUCAACGAUGAGCAGAGCAUCCAGUGUGAUCUCGAGCCUCCAAGACUACUGUCAGACACCGUUAUUGAUGAAAACGGAGAGAAAGUGAAACUGAUCCCUGUGCCUAUAUUUAUUCCAACACCCAUGUACAUUCCCGUGCCCAUGCAUCUGUACACUCAGUACACACCAUUUCCGCUGGGAUUUCCUGUUCCUAUACCUGUUCCACUGGUCGUGCCAGCUUCUCAGGAAUCCGCACAGCCAACUUCCACUAAAGGCAGCGUCCCAUCACAAAGCUCAGUGGAGGACGAAGAUGCGGAAAAGGGCAAGAGCAGGCCCCUGUCCCAUGGAGACCAAGGCAGUACAUACAGUGGAGAUUUGGAAUCAGAGGCCAGGUCUACUCCCUUCAGUUGGGCAGAUCCUGAAGAUUCUUCACACAAUCUUAAGCCAUCAGUCCCUUUAUCUGAAAUAGAGGGACCUAAAGAUGCUCCUAUUAAAUCCACAGCGUCCACAUUAAUAGAUUUGGAAAAGGACAUUCCUCUUGCAUCAAAUGAUCAGGAAGCAACAAAAGAGCAGAAAUCAUCAGUAAAACGGCGCAAGAGAGGAAAGAAGAGAUCUGAUGUUGAAGAACUGAAGAGUUUCAAAGAAGAACUGGACAUAGCUGCAAAGUCCAUAUUGGACACUGAUACCAAGCAGUUCACUGCGGAUUCUUGCCAAAAUGGUAGAACACCGGGGAAAAGUAUUUUCAUUAGCUCAGAAUGCGCUCCAGUUGAAGAUGAGCUGGAAGAGCUUACGAGGACAAGUCGGAAAACAGCGAGUAAAACAGUUAGAGCUCAGACGUCAUGUACCAAAAAACAGUUCUGUGUUUACUGUCAAAAAUCAAAUACCAAAAUAGCAAGGCACUUGGAGCGAUUGCAUUCAAAUGAAACAGAUGUAGCAUAUGCCCUCAGUUUUCCUAAAAAAUCUAAAAGAAGACAUAUGCUACUUGAACAGCUUCGCAAGAAAGGCAAUUAUCAGCAUAACAUUGAAGUUAUUCGAAACGGAAGUGGGGAUAUUGUUAUGCAAAAACAAACAAAAAGAAAAAGAUCUGUGAGGGAGUACUUACCUUGCCAGUAUUGCCUAGCUUUCUUUCUACGGGAAGGGUUGGAGAAACACGAAUACUCAUGCAGGAGAAAAAUGCUUUCACAAUCUUGUUCAGAGUCUUUGGAGCAAAUGGCCUCUAAAAAUGAUUCCUGCUUCCAGUCCACUACAGAGCUAAAUGCGCCACCACUUGUCAACUUGGUGCAUUUGCAAAUCCCAGGUUCCAGCUCUGAACAUCUUAAUCCAGAAUCAGCCAUCCAUAAUACUGAAACCUGCUCUUUCUCAAGUGCUCAAUUAAGUCCUGAAUUUUCUGAUCAGACGGAUCUAAAACCUGGCCUUGGACCAAGUAACAUGUUUACUCAGUCUAGUCCCGAACCCUUCCUUUCAACCAGUUCUGACCUUAGACUGUUUCCUGAUCGGGCAAACAUUUCUGAUGAAUGCACCAUAACAUCUAGUAAUGAACCUAGCCUUCAUUCUAGUUUUGAAUCCCACUUACAGUCCAAAGAGUUAUCAAGUACUGCAAACAGUCAUCCUAGUCCCAAACAUUGCGAACAUAGUAGCCUUCUAACCACUGCUGAAAGUAACAGAGAGAGUUUUGAGUGCCUACCAUCCACUCCUGAACCUCUCUCACUGCCUUAUCCUGAAUCAAGUCCUAGUCAUUUAAGCGUUGACUUGUGCUUUGAAGAGGUUUUGAGGACCAGUCCUGAAACCAGUCUCCCAAGUAUUUCUGAAUAUUGCAGCAUCAAUGAAUCCAGCAUAAAAUCUACUCUAGAAUCGUGUCUUGUACCCAGUAUGUUGUACACUGAUGCAUCUAGCAGUGCAAAUCUGAAUGCUGAAUCAUUUCAUCAGACCACUGCCAGUCAAAUGUCCAGCCUGCAUCCUACUCAACCAAGUGUGAAGUCCUGCUUUCUAACCAGUUUGGGAUGUGAUCUUAGGCCACCACCUAGUCUGGAAUUGUCUAAUCAAACCACGUUCAUUUUGAGUCAUGAAUCUACCAUCCAAUCAAACUUUGAAUCUUGCACACACGCUGAGAAAUCAAGCCUGAAAACAAGUCCAUAUUGUAGUCCUAAAUCUCACCACCAAGCAAGCCAUGAUUGCAGUGAUGAUCCAAGUGAUGAUUGCAGCCCAGAUCCCAGUCAGUCCAGUUUUGAAUUGUGCCUCUCCUCCAGCCAUGAAAAUAGCCCUGAAACAUCAGAUGAUAGUCCUGAGAUUAUUUUUGAGUCCUGCUUUGAGACCGUUUUCCAGUCUAGUUCUGAGACCAGUCUCUUUCCUGCUCCUGAAUCUUCGCACUACCAAGGGGUUGAGUCGAACAUGAAACCUACUAUUGAGCCUUGUUUCACAUCCGGUGUGAAGUGCAGCAGACCUACACCCAGCAGUCCUGAGGGUAAUACAGAAUCUAUACCACAGAUCCUCAGUGCCAGCUCCCACUGCCUGGACUCCGAUGCCUCAAGUGGGCUUGAGUGCAAUUUGAUUAAUGCUGAUAGCCCAGUCAUGUCUCCUGCAGAAAGCUUGACGUAUCAAAAGAAUUCUAUUGAAAUUGUUGACGGAGACUCCACUUUUGACUCAUCGUCUAUCACGAACACCAGUUCACAGUGUGGGACAGCAUCCACUCUAAAGCACAUAAAGUGUUCUGGUUCACUUUCAAGCCUGAAGUCGAGUCCACAAUCUAGUUCCAAUUCCAGUUCGAUCUGUAACACCUCAUCUGAACCAGAGCUGUCCAAACAGAUAAGUUUAAACAAAACGUCAGAUGGUAGAAGGUUAGGGGUGAAAAAGCAGUUCUGUCUUUACUGUAAAAAGCCCUACGUCAAAAUAUCACGGCAUCUGAGCCAGAAGCAUGCAAAGGAAAUGGAUGUAGCACAUGCACUUACUUUUAGAAUGGGGUCUAAAAAACGGCUCCUUCUGUUCGAACAGCUUCGAAAGAAAGGGAAUUAUCAGCAUAACGUUGAAGUUCUUAAAAACGGAAGUGGAGAGCUGAUCACCUGUAAACGAGCAACUAAAGAUCAUUCUGUGGGUGUGUACCUGCCUUGUCAGUAUUGCCUGGCGUUUUAUAUCCGCCAUGAUCUGUGGCGGCAUGAAAAACGUUGCAAAGUGAGAACGAAUGUUUGCCUUAAAAGGACUGCAUCAUCAAUGUUGCUUCCAUUGCAGGGUGGUGUUUCUGGAGACUUGGAAGAAGCUAUUCAUAGUAUGAAGCAAGACAGUGUCCUGAAUCAUAUAAGAGCCGAUACUCUGAUUUGCAAGUAUGGUGCUAGGCUUUUUGUAAAGCUUGGACAUGGUAAAAAGCAUCAAAUAUAUGUAACACAGAAGAUGAGGGAAUUGGCGAGAUUUAUGCUAGCCGUAAAAGAGUUAGACGGAAGUGUUCAGUAUCUGCAUCACGUCUGCACUCCAUCCAGGCUUGAUUUAGUCAUUAAAGGUGCAAAGGUAGUUAGUGGGUUUGAUGAAACGUUGAGCAAAUUUGAAAAGCCAUCUCUGGCGUUCAAAAUUGGCAAUUCCAUAAGACAAGCAGCUGAAAUUAUUUGUGGUGAGAAUAUUAUGGAGGGGGAUACAGAGACCGUUGCUAAUGUUAAAGAGUUUAUUGGGCUUCUCGAGAAAAAUUGGAUUUGUGCUAGAAACGCCGACCUAGUCGAUCCUGAUAGCACUGUGGUCCACAGUUGCUUAGGCAAGCAUACCGCAGCACUGUCUGCAUGUCAAGAGAAAUCUCCAGUGUCACGCAACUCCAGGGAAAAUCUCAAGCCUGAGUUGUGCGCCCCAAUCCGUAGUCAAGAUGAAGGCAAAUAUGUGGAUGGUAAUGAGAAUUUACUUUGCAGCACUAAUGUCGUAGUGCCGUCUACCAACCCUGGAGCACACCACCGUCUACCAUCUCCAAUGUCUCGAAAGUCUUAUUCAGAAGUGUUACCUUUACUAAGGACAGCAAAAGGUGGGAAAAAACACUUCUGUGUCUAUUGUAGGAAACCCUUCAUCAAAUUAGCAAGGCACUUGUCUCGGACUCAUGCGAAAGAAAAGGACGUAGCCCAUGCCUUCAGCCACCCAAAGGGAUCCAAAACUCGCCAUUGCUUGCUUAAACAGCUUCGUAAUAGAGGUAAUUACCAGCAUAACAUCAAAGUUCAGCAAACUGGAAAUGGGGAAAUUGUCCCCCUGAGACGCCAAAAAAAGGACAAUUCGUUGAAUUCCUACCAACCUUGCACUCACUGUCUGGGUUAUUUCCUCCAACGUGAAUUGUGGAGACAUCAAAGAUCAUGCAACUUGAAGACGGAUGAUAAAAAUGCCCCUCGUAGAAGGAGGUCUCGGUCAGCCUUAUUUAAGGAUUUUGUUUUGCACGACUGUCUUUCCGAGGGCUGCAAAAAUGUUGUCCGCAACAUGAGAGACGAUGACAUCUCAAAAUAUUUAAGGAACGAUACCUUAAUCUGCCAAUUUGGAAAUAGACUUUAUGAAAAACAUGGACACGAAAAGGAAGGACACGAAUACAUUUCACAAAAAAUGAGAGCACUAGGUAGAUUUAUGUUGGCCGUGAGGGAUUUGGAUCGCAAUGUUGAGGAUCUGUAUCAAGUAUGUACUGAAUCCAGGUUCAGCUUGGCUUUGGAAGCUCUCAAGAAGAUUGGCUGUUUUGACUCGCAUUCUAACAAAUGUAAAAAAUCGGGGGCAUCGAAAAUGGGUUAUUCCUUGAAAUGUGCAAUUGAAGUUGCUUUGGAAAAAAAUGAUAUGGCUGAUGAAGCUAGAAAUCAUGCCAAAAAAUUCAUUGAACUGCUGGGAACAGAUUGGCUUUCUUAUGAACCUUCAAAUACCUGUAAGCAAACUGAAUCGGAUAUAAUACAUCUGAUAGAUGAUGUUGUCAAACUACAGAAGUUCCUGAAAAAUACCGGAGACAAAGUCAUUUUGGAACUUACGGAGCAUCCUAAUCAUAAAUCAUGGAAAAUGCUACGUGAAAUCCUUCUGGCUGAACUGACACUAUUUAACAGAGGACGGAGGAGCAUAGCUGAGAAAAUGCUGCUUGAGGAGUACAUACAGAGGCACAAAGAGCCUAUCCAUGGAAAAAUGUGUGAACCCCUAUCAAAGCUUGAACAGGCUCUUAGCAGUGCGUUACUAAGUGUGGGAGUCACUAAUAAAGAUGGAAGUUGGGUUCCUGUUUUGUUUACUGUAAGGAUGGCAUCUUCUCUGGACAUUCUUAUCAAAUACCGUGAGGAUGUAGGUGUUCUCGCGGACAACCCUUACAUGUUUCCUCAAAUGACAGCUGAUGCUCACAUAAGAUCACACGACUGCAUAAGGAUCUUUGCCCAAAAAUGUGGUGUAAGCAAGCUUGAAGUUCAUACGCAUAAGUAUGUGGCUACUAUUUUCCAACUACGGAGCCUUAGCGGCAGUGAAAAGCAGCUGGUAUCUGCACUUGUGGGCGACAGCAGUUUUGAACUUCAAACACUGGAUGAAAACUUGACACAGUUGGCAAAGGUCUGCGACCUGUUGCAAACAAUGGACGAUGGACCUGGUGCAUACAAGGACACAGGUCUUGGCGAUGCUCCUGCACUGAGAUGCAAAAGACAAAAAUGGAACAAGGAGGAACAACAAGCUGUGAGGAAGCAUCUGGGAAAUUAUAUAUCCAUCAAUAAAGUGCCAGGCAAAAAGGACUGUCUGGACUGCAUUGGGACCGAUCCGGAGGCUCUCAGGACAAGAACGUGGCGGGACGUCAAAAAUUACGUCCAUAACACUAUAAUGUCAAAGAAAAGGAAGAGAAAGCGUUCGAGGCAGAUGGACAGUGAAAGCGACAAAGAUGAUCUCAGUGAAGCUGUUGCCAUGGAGCCUGCCACAAAAAGACCUCGUCGUAAAAGAAGGCGAAGACGGCGUAUGUGAACAUAACACAACCGAUAUGCACGUUGUAUUGGGCCACAUUUGCACGUUUGGAGGGAAGAAGGCGUUCGGUAACAGAUGUGGCGAGCGGCAUGGUUUCUACUCCACCCAGCUCCAAACUCCACCAAAUGUAUGGUGUGAAAGCCUGGGCCAGCUGGGUGCAGUGGAG